CCUGAUGGAGGGGGAUAACUACUGGAAACGGUAGCUAAUACCGCAUAACGUCGCAAGACCAAAGAGGGGGACCUUCGGGCCUCUUGCCAUCAGAUGUGCCCAGAUGGGAUUAGCUAGUAGGUGGGGUAAUGGCUCACCUAGGCGACGAUCCCUAGCUGGUCUGAGAGGAUGACCAGCCACACUGGAACUGAGACACGGUCCAGACUCCUACGGGAGGCAGCAGUGGGGAAUAUUGCACAAUGGGCGCAAGCCUGAUGCAGCCAUGCCGCGUGUGUGAAGAAGGCCUUCGGGUUGUAAAGCACUUUCAGCGAGGAGGAAGGCAUUAAGGUUAAUAACCUUAGUGAUUGACGUUACUCGCAGAAGAAGCACCGGCUAACUCCGUGCCAGCAGCCGCGGUAAU
rnacentral:rRNA from 1 species